GGACGAACGCUGGCGGCGUGCUUAACACAUGCAAGUCGAGCGGUAAGGCCCUUUCGGGGGUACACGAGCGGCGAACGGGUGAGUAACACGUGGGUGACCUGCCCUCAGCUCUGGGAUAAGCCUGGGAAACCGGGUCUAAUACUGGAUAUGACUCCAUGACGCAUGUUGGUGGGGUGAAAGCCUUGUGCGGCUGAGGAUGGGCCCGCGGCCUAUCAGCUUGGUUGGUGGGGUGAGGCCUACCAAGGCGACGACGGUAGCCGGCCUGAGAGGGCGACCGGCCACACUGGGACUGAGACACGGCCCAGACUCCUACGGGAGGCAGCAGUGGGGAAUCUUGCGCAAUGGGCGAAAGCCUGACGCAGCGACGCCGCGUGAGGG
rnacentral:rRNA from 1 species